UCUUGUACUGGAUCACAGGCAGACCAACUUCAUGGGCAAAAUUAUCAAAAGAGAACCAGCCAAAGGCAUUAAGUGAUGGAACUCAAAAUUCAUAAAGCAGACAUUAUUCUGAUUCUUAAUGCCCAUAAAUUAUUCUAUUUCCAUUGCCUUUCAGUAAUGGGCUUAUUGCACUCAACUAAGAAGAAUUCCUCUAGGCCACAGUAGAGCUUAAUAAACAGUCAGGGAAAUGGACCACAAUUGCCAGACAGAACUCCAGCAAAAUGACUUGGCCUCAUUUUGACUCAGCUGUGGUUCAGGAGCAGGAGGGACGUUGGGAACAUAUUGCACCUGUAAAAAGCUGAGAUGAUGUGUUUCUUUUUUUUAAUUUUGAAGGAAGAUAAGAAGAAAGAUGAUUGUUACAGGACUUGGCAGCAUCAUGAACAAUAAUGGAGAUAGAGAAAAGGAUGAAUGCUAAUGACCUCUCAAAUACAAUGAAAGGAGCUCAUUCUCAACUCCUGCUUUAUUUCACCUCUUUCAACUUUGUCUUCCCCACCAAGUGCCAUUUGAAAUGAUUGUGAGGAAAACCAGAAGUUUCAAGUCACAAAACAGGACACUUGAGUUUACUGAGGUGCUAGGAGAUUAAAUGUUAAAGGAUUCCAACCCAGGUUUAGUGCUCUUUCCACCCCACAAUGUUUCUUCUCAAGAGAUGCAGGAACAAGUGGAGUCUGUGGCACCUGCCACCAUCCUCCUACUCCCAAGGGACAGGAACAACUGGAUACAGAGCAUAUUUCACACCUGGGCUUUAGACAGCUGGAUGUUCUUUUGAGCUGAACACUUUGGCACUUCAGGAUCACUUUCAGAACAUUUUUCUUGUUUAUUUUAAUUUCCUUUUUACACUUUUUGAUCAAUGUCAAAAAUUGAAAGAAUAUCAGAUAUUUUAUCAGACUACCCAACAUUAAAUCUCACUUUAGAUACCUGUGUGACCUUAGACAAUGUUUAUAAAAUGGGGUUGGAUGGUGGGGUUGGACUGGACAAUGCUACUAGUUUUGUUUUUCUUGACAACCAGCAGAAAAAAAUCAUUUAAUGAAAUACAAAGUUUCUUUGUUCUUUUCUUCUUUUUUUAAAUAACAUUUGAAAGUAUAAAAUGCUACAUUUCCAAAAAAAUAUAUUCUUUUCUGCACCAACACCUUUGUAUAAUAUUGUCUCUACUUUUUUGUUCAUUUGUUUCAAUGCACUACAUUUUAUCUACAGUUUCAUUACAUGUAUACAGCAAAUAGGCAAGCACGUCUUUUACAUCCUUAAUGUUUUUCUAUACAGAGAAGUUUAAAAAUAUUUGAACAGUUUGCCCAGUAUUGUGACACAUAAUGCAUGUAUCUUGUUCUCAUAUAAUUUUUAGGGAGGUGUAAAGUAUAGGCUUGGUAAUUUUAACUCAGAUUUUUGUCCUUUUAAAAAAAUAGUAUUGCAGUCUUUUCUAGUUUUGUAUCCUUUGCCCCUGGGCCCUCUUAGAAAGAAAUUUAUGAAGUUGUGUUUAAUUAAAAAAAGAGUGAAGAUUACUCUUGAUUUAUGACAGAUAGAACAAAGAACUGAUCCUAUGAAAGAGGCAGUACAGUAGAGUGAAAAAACAUCUGAAACUUAGGGUUCUAAUCAAUUUUUAAAUUAUUCAUUAACUAUGUAUCAGAGUCCACUUGUGCUUUGGUUUAUUGCUGUAAAAUCAUCACAAUUCUAUUUGCCCUUGUAUAAUCUGCCCCCCUUAUAUGGAAUGUAUUCCCCCUUCACUUCUGCUUCAGAAAAUCCCUGACUUCCUUCAAUGUUUAGUUCAAUUGCUG
rnacentral:lncRNA from 1 species